AAGGAAUUAAGUAAUAGAAAUAGCUGCUAACUAAUUUCUAAAGCGGUUAAAAUCCGUUUAUUCCUUA
rnacentral:tRNA from 1 species